rnacentral:rRNA from 1 species
UACGGAGGAUGCGAGCGUUAUCCGGAUUUAUUGGGUUUAAAGGGUGCGUAGGCGGGAUUAUAAGUCAGCGGUGAAAGUUUGAGGCUCAACCUUAAAAUUGCCGUUGAAACUGUUUUUCUUGAGUAUAUUUGAAGUAGGCGGAAUUCGUGGUGUAGCGGUGAAAUGCAUAGAUAUAACGAGGAACUCCAAUUGCGUAGGCAGCUUACUAAGCUAUAACUGACGCUCAAGCACGAAAGCGUGGGGAUCAAACAGG